rnacentral:lncRNA from 1 species
UAAAAAUGGCCAUAAAAGGAAACACUGAAGAACUUAAUGAUGGCCAACCAUCAUCCUCAUGGCAUGGGGCCUUAUACCCCCAAGUUAUAGAAGGGCUUCAGGUCAAAUUAUAAGCAAAGAAAUUCCUUCUCUACUUCCUUGCAUCCUUGUUAAGCCUAAGUAAAGGUUGGGCCUAGACUUCAAAGACUUAAUGAUAAGAAAGACCCUUGAGAGAAUUAUCCCCCCUUGGAUUCUCCCCUAGCUCUCUAGUUGGACACAGAGAUAUACCUCCAGGCUGUGCUUCCAUACCAUCUGGUUGUAUCCAAGACAUCUACUUGUACCCUGAACUAAAUGCAGGUCACCCCCUAUGUCUUUGGGACAUAAGACACCACUCUGACCCUAGUCAGGUGACCACCCCCCCCCUUUUGCCUGAAUUCAUACCGUUCUCAAGCCACAUAGCACCUGCUGUAAAUAAAGUAUAAAACCCCCAGAAUUCUUUCCUUUGAGGAUGUGGUAUCAAUCCCUGCACACAGGCCUCCCAGCCAAUACAUUUCUUGUUUUAUUUCUACUUUAUGGAGUCUCAAGUCUCACAUUCUUGCAAAUCCUGAACCCAGGGGUUCACCUCACACCCCCCACAAUACUAGGAUUCUUAAGUAGAAAGAGUUUCCUUUUAUCUUGAAAGGUCAUUGUGCUUCCAAUUCUCUGAUUCACUUAAGACUAAGACAUUUAACAAAUUGAGGCAGACAAGCUCUCAUAGAGAUGAGGCAGGGCAACAAGUAUUUAAGUCCUUUGUGGAGGCCGGGCAUUGCAUUAUACCCUGAGGAUAUAUAUAUGGACCAAAAAAAGACAUCUGUUGCCUUACAUCGUAAUGGGGGAAGAUUAAUACACAAAAGGGAGCUGCAAGGGGAUGGAGGAAGGAGAAAAGACUGGAAAAUCAGUAGCAGAGCCAGAAGGAGAAUGAAGUUUGACUGGUCCAGGUCUCCUCUAAAAUGGAGGUCCUGGAGGAACUCACCAAUGGGAGAAGGCUUGGCGUGGCGGAGAGAUAUUACAAGUGCUGAUAUUGGUCCAACUCAAAGUUUCUGCUAA